AACUUGUCGGACAUGGUACUUUGGAUCUUCCAAUUAUUCGGAAUCCAUUGCAAUGGCCGCCAAGCAUGGCAUCUGGAGCUCUACCAAUUUCAUAGAUGCCGGCUUCCUUCGUUCCUCAUCUUCUUCUUGCUCGACCCGUAGUUGUACCGUCAGCGUCGUGUGCAGAUCUUCAUCUUCCUCCUCUUCUUCCACGGAAAUCGGGAUAUCGCAGGCUCAGCUCCGAAUGGUUGAGGCGUUCGAUCCAAAGAUUCCUCUUGUUGAAGCUAUCACCCCUCCCAGCUCGUGGUACACGGACGCUUCCUUUCUUGACCUCGAGUUUGAGCGCGUCUUUUUCCGUGGGUGGCAGGCUGUUGGCUAUACUGAGCAAAUCGAGCGUCCUCAUGAUUUCUUCACUGGAAGGUUAGGGAAUGUUGAGUUUGUCAUCUGCCGAGAUGCUGAUGGGGAUCUUCAUGCCUUCCACAAUGUGUGCCGCCACCAUGCCUCAAUACUUGCCUCCGGAAGUGGGAAGAAGUCAUGCUUUAUAUGCCCUUACCAUGGUUGGACAUAUGCUUUAGAUGGCUCACUCUUGAAGGCCACUAGAAUCACAGGAAUUAAGAACUUCAACAAGGAUGAAUUCAGACUUGUACCUUUGGAAGUGACUACUUGGGGACCAUUUGUUCUUGUUAGAUUGGAUGGGAAUCCCUCAUCUCAACAGAGAGGUUCUAUGAAAAUGGUAGGAAAUGAAUGGCUUGGGAGUUCUUCCAAUAUCCUCAGCACAAAUGGAGUUGAUUCUUCUCUGAAACAUGUCUGUAGACGUGAAUAUAGUCUCCAGUGUAAUUGGAAGGUUUUCUGUGACAACUACUUGGAUGGUGGUUAUCAUGUUCCUUAUGCUCAUGGAGGUCUUGCAUCCGGUCUUAAUCUUGAUUCUUACUCUACGCUUAUGUAUGAGAAAGUUAGUAUUCAAAGAUGUGAAGGUGCUUCAGCUGAACAGAGCUUUGAUCGGCUUGGUUCAAAGGCAUUGUAUGCUUUUGUAUACCCUAACUUCAUGAUAAACAGGUAUGGUCCAUGGAUGGACACUAAUUUAGUUGUUCCAUUGACCACAACCAAAUGUCAAGUUGUGUUUGAUUAUUUUCUGGACACCUCUCUUGUGGAUGACAAGGCCUUCAUUGAAAGAAGUUUAGAAGAGAGUGAGAGAGUGCAGUUAGAAGACAUUGCACUAUGCGAAGGAGUUCAGCGCGGUUUGGAAUCACCAGCCUACUGCAGUGGAAGAUAUGCACCGGCAGUGGAGAUGGCCAUGCAUCACUUCCACUGCCUUCUGCACAAGUUCCUCACCAACGUCUAAUAUCCUCAUUUGGGUUCUAUUAAUAAAACAAUCUGGACAGAGAAGCAACAAACGUCUUUGCACUCACGUGAAAUGCGAAAGGCAUGCAGUGAGUAAUCUGAUACCACCGUUCUUAUCACCUACGGACGAUGACAAUUAGGCCAACGCACACCAAUCUUGGCCUCAUAGAAAGGUAAUCAAUCAGAUAAGAAACAUCUACUGGCUAGAUUUUGUCUCUGUUCGAAGAAGAUCCAUUGGGUGUGGAUUUGCCACUUGGAAGCUUGCCAGAGAUGGUCCAAAUCCAACACUAGACGUGCAUGGCACUACGUGGCCAUCCUUUGGGCCUCACUAGCUCACCGAAGGCGAUAAGGUGAAGGCUUGGCCUGUGGGAUCCAUAGUGAAUUUUUGUCCAAUAGGUUGCUAAUUAGCUUUGAUGAAUCGAAGCUAAAUCACAAAGGUAAUAGGAAGUUCACCACCACAGACGAAAUGAAUUAUUGAGGAGAUGCUAGCUUGAGAUAGCAAAAA